rnacentral:rRNA from 1 species
AUGAACGCUGGCGGCGUGCCUUAUCCCUGCAAGUCGAGCGCACGGACGAGAAGCUUGCUUCUCUGAUGUUAGCGGCGGACGGGUGAGUAACACGUGGAUAACCUACCUAUAAGACUGGGAUAACUUCGGGAAACCGGAGCUAAUACCGGAUAAUAUUUUGAACCGCAUGGUUCAAAAGUGAAAGACGGUCUUGCUGUCACUUAUAGAUGGAUCCGCGCUGCAUUAGCUAGUUGGUAAGGUAACGGCUUACCAAGGCAACGAUGCAUAGCCGACCUGAGAGGGUGAUCGGCCACACUGGAACUGAGACACGGUCCAGACUCCUACGGGAGGCAGCAGUAGGGAAUCUUCCGCAAUGGGCGAAAGCCUGACGGAGCAACGCCGCGUGAGUGAUGAAGGUCUUCGGAUCGUAAAACUCUGUUAUUAGGGAAGAACAUAUGUGUAAGUAACUGUGCACAUCUUGACGGUACCUAAUCAGAAAGCCACGGCUAACUACGUG